rnacentral:rRNA from 1 species
AUUGAACGCUGGCGGCAGGCCUAACACAUGCAAGUCGAACGGUAACAGGAAACAGCUUGCUGUUUCGCUGACGAGUGGCGGACGGGUGAGUAAUGUCUGGGAAACUGCCUGAUGGAGGGGGAUAACUACUGGAAACGGUAGCUAAUACCGCAUAACGUCGCAAGACCAAAGGGGGGGACCCUCGGGCCUCUUGCCAUCGGAUGUGCCCAGAUGGGAUUAGCUUGUUGGUGGGGUAACGGCUCACCAAGGCGACGAUCCCUAGCUGGUCUGAGAGGAUGACCAGCCACACUGGAACUGAGACACGGUCCAGACUCCUACGGGAGGCAGCAGUGGGGAAUAUUGCACAAUGGGCGCAAGCCUGAUGCAGCCAUGCCGCGUGUAUGAAGAAGGCCUUCGGGUUGUAAAGUACUUUCAGCGGGGAGGAAGGGAGUAAAGUUAAUACCUUUGCUCAUUGACGUUACCCGCAGAAGAAGCACCGGCUAACUCCGUG